ensembl:lncRNA
AUGGCGGGACGACGUCUCGCGUUCAACUCGCCUUCAACUCCUCUCCGCGGUCACCAACUUUCGGCCAGUCCGCAGACAGACGAGAAGAAGCUGCUGAUGCUCUCAGUGGAUCGUCUCGUCAACUCCAACAACAAACUGCCGAUAUCAACGAGCGGUUCGCUUGAGGUUGGCGGCUCUGGAUUUGUAGGAACUGACUCAAAGAAGAGGAGACGGGUGCACAAUGCUAAGAUAACGGAAGCGGUGCGCCGUCUUCACAACUCCGAGACGAUUUACAGGCGCUACGAACCGGAGCAAGGACUAAUCUUGCCUCAUAAUGAGGCCGUGACCUCGUAUUUGCUCCGGCAAAAGUCCAGAUUUCGAUUUAGAUAA